rnacentral:misc_RNA from 1 species
UUUCCGUAGGUGAACCUGCGGAAGGAUCAUUAGAGUGAUCAUGCCCUCACGGGUAGACCUCCCACCCUUUGUUUACAAUACCUUUGUUGCUUUGGCGUGCCCGUUUGGCCCCGCGCUGAACAACCGGCCCCGGCUGGUCAGUGCCCGCCAGAGAACCGAAAACUCUGAAUUAAAUGUCGUCUGAGUACUAUGUAAUAGUUAAAACUUUCAACAACGGAUCUCUUGGUUCUG